UUGGUUAUGAGAACUAUAGCUCUGACAAAAAUAUGGAAUGGAAAUAAAGUAUAUUACAGGAGAUAUUCAGUUGUUUUAAUCAUAAAAUGGAUUUCUAUUUGACAACUAGUGCCAGUACUUUUCCGCGUAUCAAGAUCACCUGGUUUGUAAAGGCGCACAAUUUUCUGCUCUUGGGAAUUUAAAGCAGCUUCUUAAACAGUUUCUUUAUGCAUAAAAUUUACUUAUGUUAAUCUUUUAUCACUUGUGUGUUCAGCAGAGUGCUGAGGCAUUCAAAUUCGAACAAUAUGUUAUUUGAAUAGUUUGCAGGUUUUUUGGGACACCUUGUACAGGGUGUAUAAAAAAGACGCAACCUCGGAAUUUCCCAAAAAAUCGACAUUGUUUUAAGGACAAAAGAUUUUAGGUGGCUGGGAAUUCAAAAUAGCACAACUGUCAAAAUUACUGUACACGCGAGUGCGUAAAGCAAAAUUUAUGCAUUUAUUUCAUGACACUUAAUGAGUUUUUAUUUUACAAGUACAGCGCGCAUAACAACAGUUAUAUUAUCUAUUAGCAAUUCGAUUUAAAUUCCCAGAGGCCUAAAAUCUUUUAUGCUUAAGAAUUGCAAAGUGGAUUUCUUAGGAAAUUCCGAGGUUGCGUUUUUUUAUACACCCUGUAGAGUCACUGAUGAAUUCAGUAUACGGUACGGUACAGUGGUUAAUGAAUUCAAUAAAGUGGCGAUAACGAUUCAAUCUAGCUUUUCAUUAAACCUUUUGUUUUCUUAACCCCACAUUUUCCCUACGCUUCAAAGCCCUCGCCACUUGAUGAUUUAAGAUCAUAGAUAUCUUAAAUACACUAGAUAGCGCAUCUCUUUUAGUAAAAUUGAAGCCAAGAAUAUUCCAGCGGUUACCCCCAUUUGAAUAGAUGGCGGCCAUGUUGGUCGUUCCCACUUGCUAAUAAACGCUUAAAAACAGCAAUAACUUUUAUCAUUUGAAUAGUUUAAAAACGUAUUUGGAAUAGGGUUAACUUAAUGUUUAAGUUCCCUGUUUAAGAAAUAGAAAACAUACGAAUCUUCUCAUUUCAUGAGAACGACGUCAACAACCUGAGACUGUCAUCACGGCUUCAAUUUUUGAAUUGCAGUAUAAUUAGAGCACUAUCUAGUGUAUAUGAGAUAUCGAUGUUUAAGGUUACUCCACAUGAUGAAAACAUUGAUUUUGUCCUUUUUUACAUUUUUAUCGAUUUAUAUCGAGGGGCUAGAGAUCUUUCCAUUUCUCAAAUAAUUUUUUGAAAAUAUUAAAAUGCAACCGAGAUAUAACCGAAAAUGUUAUAGUCUAAUUUUUUCCCCCCGGGAAAGUUUUAAUUGUGAUUGACAGUUUGUGGAUAAGUUUGACCAUAUGGUUUGACCACAGGGUGCAUGUUACGCAUCUGUGGCGGUAUUCAACAUUAGGCGGCUUGUUUGUUUUAGAUAUAACUAUAUCACUGUAAUAUUGUAGGUACACGCACACAACACAGUGAAAUUUGCUUUCUAAGUAAAACGCUGGUUUAAAAAGUGAUCAAUCAUAUAUAUAAC